rfam:Schistosoma rodhaini strain Burundi genome assembly, scaffold: SROB_contig0001476
AUCCAGCUGACGAGUCCCCAAAAGGACCAAACGCGCUUCCUGAAU